CGACGCGCACCCCUGCUCCGGGUCCCGGUCCCGAGGCCUCUAGGCGGCUCGGGGCCGCCGUCUCGGACGCGGGCCGGGCUGGCGCUCGGGGUUUACCCGGGGCUCCGACCCUUGUGAGUCCCGGGAUCCGCCCGUCUCAGUCUCUGUGACCGCGUCUCUUACGCUCCGUGACGUUGUCGACAUUCUGCAUGUGAGUGUCCUGGGUCCGUUUUCCUCUCUCUGCAACCCCAGCCUUGCUGAGACCUGCCCCCGCCCCGCUUUCUGGCCGCGGGACCUGCAGGCGCCCCACGGAGACUUCACGCCCUGAAGCCUGCACUCAGCCGCAGACGGGGGUCCCUCUAGCGCUCAGGGUCGUGGGCACCCAGGGUUACUCCUGUGCGCUCUUUCUCGCCAGCCACGUUCCUGCCCACGCGGUUUGACCCAUUCUUCCCAAGGUCCCCUCCAGGACUCCGACGCGAGUGGCUUCAGGCCAGACUGGGCCCGUUUCAGCCUAGAGCGUGGAAGGGGCGACGGGCUUUGCCAGGGGGCGAGAACCGAGCGAACUGCGGCGCCGCUGCCCCGACAGCGCCGCUCAGUGGCCAGAGAUCCGGCGCGGCCCGAGUCCCCGCGGCGCUCGCUGUCACAGGGCUGCGUGAGCGUCCUUGGGGUACCUUCCCUUCCGAACCUCAGUCAGGCUCGUGGGGUCGCACCCUUGUCCUCACUACUUACUCUAGCCUUCAUCUUGGAGGAGUUUCCUAAACGCUGCUCCCCUCUUCUCUGCACAAAUGAGAGUAAAAACACCUCCCACGUGACUACUGCGUUAAAGCUAGUUGUAUUCGGAGCUGUUUAGGAAGAGGACAUUGGGAGCGCACCCUGCAGAGCCCAGGCCCCCUAGGGGGUUAGGGCUGAUGGCACCUGCCACCAGGAGCUCGGGCCCUGGUUGCAUGGCCUCUGCCAGCCGCCUCCAGCGCCCAGAGCAGACACCCCACACCGUGGACCACACACCAACUGCAGCCCAGCACGGCUCCGCUAGUGUCUGAGUUACGGAGAGAAAGCGAGCAUGGUCCCUGCCACCCGGUGUCCCGGUGUCCCCUCCGGGGAGUCCUCAUUUCUGACAUGCUGGACGGGAGCCCACACUGCCUUCCUCGCCAGCACUCUUGGUCCCCAGGCUCCAGCUCUCCAGCUGGCUUCAAGGGAUUGGAGCAGCCAGCACUCGUCCUCCUUCCUUCAGGACUCCAACUCAGAGCCUGCCUCUUCCAAGAAACUCGCUCUGUUAAGCCUCCAGAGCCCUGCCCUGCACAACUCAAGGAGACAGACUGAUCUCCAGUUACACAAGAAACCAAGCCUGAGAAAUUCAUAAUUUAUAUCUGCCCAAACUGACAUUAUGGUAAGUUAAAGUCAGGUUGGAGGCCCACAGAAUGUUUUUCCUUUAAAAGUAGAUCACACUGGGGCAGGCAUUAGAGGGGUUAAGACACCACUUGUUGAGGGGGGCAGUGUUGAGGUACAACGUGUUAAGCUACCUCAUGCAGCGCUGGCAUCUCCUAUGAGCACCAACUAGAGUUCUAACUGCUCCACUUCUGAUCCAGCUCCCUAGAAAGCAACAGAAGAUAUCCCAAGUGCUUGGGCCUCUGCCAUCCAUGUGAGAGACCUGGAUGGAGUUCCAGGCCUCUGGCUUUGGCCUGACCUAGCCCCAGCCAAUGUGACCAUAUGCAAAGUGAACCAGCAAAUUGGAAAAUUUCUCCCUUUCUCUCUCUCCCCAACUCCCCCUCCCUCUCCAUAUUACUCUGCUUUUCAAAUAAAUAAGCGACAAUAAACACCACUUGGGAUAUCCACAUCCCUUAUCAGAAUGCUGGGUUUGAGUCCCAGCUCCACUUAGGAGUCCAGCUUCCUGCUAAUUUUAUCCACCCUGGGAUGCUGCAGGUAACGACUCAAGUAUCUGCAUCCCUACUACCUAUAUGAGAGAUCCAGACUGAGUUCUGGGUUCCUGGCUUCAGCCCGGCUUAGCCCCAGCUUUUGUGGGCAUUUGAGGAGUGAACCAGCAGAUGGAAGAUGUCUCUGUCUCAAAUAAAACGAAAAUUUUUAAAACACAUUUAAAAUGGACCCUAUUAGCCUCCUGUGUAUCCUCCUUCCCCUACCCCCGUAUUCCUAGGACUUCCCAGAGAGCUGCUUCACAUGGAGGGUCACAGUCGAGGGUCCCCAUGUUGCUCUUUGCUCUUUCCCUGGUAUUUACCUGCCUCCCCAGGGGAUGCCCAGAGCUCUGACAGCUGUCAUCGUACCCAGUCUCCAUCCAAGUGUCACCUUCCUAUGCACCUAAUCCAAGUGCCGGGGUAAUGCUGGCUCCUUCUUUGAGCUGGAUCCGGGAGGCCCUCAAACCAGCUAAUGAGCAGCGUGGGCCCAAAGCCACCCUUCCUGUGUCCCAAGCGCCCACAAGCCAGGGAGAGCCCUUGCCUAAGGCUUCCCAGUGCUCCAUCUCCUCUGAAGAACCCUCGAUGGCUCCCCUGCCUCCUCUCCUGCCAACACCCACCCCUCACUUGCACAACACAGCCACCUUGCCAGCUUUCCCACCCCCAGCUCACUUCCCAAAUAGAAGUCUGACUCAACAACUUCAUUGUCAGGGUGCCUGCUUGGCUUCUCAUGCUGAAAUAGUCAUCUCAAUUUUAGAUGAGCAAAAUUUCCCAAAAGCUUUUCCUCAGCUGAAACAUGGGAAUAAACCAAGAAAAAGGAGGACACAGAAUACAGGAGCAGGAAAUCCUCACAGGAAGGGAACAGAGGACUCCCGGGACAACAGACAAGGAAGUUCCAGCUCCCCACGUGCGCAGUGGAGGUGCAGCCGUCUGUCCAGGUGAGAGCUGGAAGCUGAUGACUCCGAGGGGAUGCUCCCAGAAAGGGAAACACAGCCACCAAACCCAGUGCCGUAUUUCCUGAGAAGUGACCUCAUGAAAAACUGAACCACAGUGCUACUGGCAGGUAUGGGAAGAUUUAGCCGUAGGUAAAAAGGGAAUGGAACAAAGGAAAACAUAAGGCAUUAUUAACUCCAGGAAAAAACAAAAGUUGCGUUUAAAAAAUGAAUUUUCGGGACCAGCACUGUAGUGAAUUGGGCAAAGCCGCUGCCUGCAGUGCCGGCAUCCUAUAUGGGCACUGGUUCAAGUCCCGGCUGCUCCACUUCUGAUCCAGCUCUCUCUCUACUAUGGCCUGGGAAAGCAAUAGAAGAUGGCCCAAGUCCUUGGGCCCCUGCACCCGCCUGGGAGACUCUGAAGAAGCUCCUGGAUUUGGAUUGGCUCAGCUCCAGCUGUUGCAGCCAACUGGGGAGUGAACCAGCAGAUGGAAGACCUCUCUCUGCCUCUCCUUCUCUGUGUAACUCUGACUUUCAAAUAAAAAAAUAAAUCUUUAAAAA